rnacentral:rRNA from 1 species
AGCGGCGGACGGGUGAGUAACACGUGGGCAACCUGCCUGUAAGACUGGGAUAACUUCGGGAAACCGGAGCUAAUACCGGAUAGUAUUUCCUUUCUCCUGAUUGGAAAUGGAAAGACGGUUUCGGCUGUCACUUACAGAUGGGCCCGCGGUGCAUUAGCUAGUUGGUGGGGUAAUGGCCCACCAAGGCGACGAUGCAUAGCCGACCUGAGAGGGUGAUCGGCCACACUGGGACUGAGACACGGCCCAGACUCCUACGGGAGGCAGCAGUAGGGAAUCUUCCGCAAUGGACGAAAGUCUGACGGAGCAACGCCGCGUGAGCGAUGAAGGCCUUCGGGUCGUAAAGCUCUGUUGUUAGGGAAGAACAAGUACGAGAGUAACUGCUCGUACCUUGACGGUACCUAACCAGAAAGCCCCGGCUAACUACGUGCCAGCAGCCGCGGUAAUACGUAGGGGGCAAGCGUUGUCCGGAAUUAUUGGGCGUAAAGGGCUCGUAGGCGGUUUCUUAAGUCUGAUGUGAAAGCCCACAGCUCAACUGUGGAGGGUCAUUGGAAACUGGGGAACUUGAGUGCAGAAGAGGAGAGUGGAAUUCCACGUGUAGCGGUGAAAUGCGUAGAUAUGUGGAGGAACACCAGUGGCGAAGGCGACUCUCUGGUCUGUAACUGACGCUGAGGAGCGAAAGCGUGGGGAGCAAACAGG